GACGUAGGGCGCGAGCGUUGUCCGGAUUUAUUGGGCGUAAAGAGCUCGUAGGCGGCUUGUCGCGUCGACUGUGAAAUCCCGCGGCUCAACUGCGGGUCUGCAGUCGAUACGGGCAGGCUAGAGUUCGGUAGGGGAGACUGGAAUUCCUGGUGUAGCGGUGAAAUGCGCAGAUAUCAGGAGGAACACCGAUGGCGAAGGCAGGUCUCUGGGCCGAUACUGACGCUGAGGAGCGAAAGCGUGGAGAGCGAACAGG
rnacentral:rRNA from 1 species